UACGUAGGGGGCAAGCGUUGUCCGGAUUCAUUGGGCGUAAAGAGCGUGUAGGCGGCCAGGUAGGUCGGUUGUGAAAACUGGAGGCUCAACCUUCAGAGGUCGACCGAAACCAUCUGGCUAGAGUCGGAGAGGAGAGUGGAAUUCCUGGUGUAGCGGUGAAAUGCGCAGAUAUCAGGAAGAACACCCGUGGCGAAAGCGGCUCUCUGGAACGGUACUGACGCUGAGACGCGAAAGCGUGGGGAGCGAACAGG
rnacentral:rRNA from 1 species